rnacentral:rRNA from 1 species
GACGUAGGGCGCGAGCGUUGUCCGGAUUUAUUGGGCGUAAAGAGCUCGUAGGCGGCUUGUCGCGUCGGCUGUGAAAUCCCGUGGCUCAACUGUGGGCGGGCAGCUGAUACGGGCAGGCUGGAGUUCGGUAGGGGAGACUGGAAUUCCUGGUGUAGCGGUGAAAUGCGCAGAUAUCAGGAGGAACACCGGUGGCGAAGGCGGGUCUCUGGACGACUCCUGACACUGAGGCACGAAAGCUAGGGGAGCAAACAGG